AUCAAAAACAUGUCUUUAAGUGAAAAAUCUAAGGUCUGGUCUGCUCAAUGAUUUAUUAAUUAAAUAGCUGCAGUAUUUUAACUGUACAAAGGUAGCAUAAUAAAUAGUUUAUUAAUUGUAAACUGGAAUGAAUGAUCUGAUAAGAGAUUAACUGUUUCUUUUUAAAGUGUAUAAUUUAAAUUUUAAGUAAAAAUGCUUAAGUGAUUGUAAGGGACGAGAAGACCCUAUAGAUUUUGAUAAUUUGUUUGGGUUUAUGAAUUUAUUUAUUUUAAAAAUCUAUUUAAAUUAUUUUAAUGGGGCAUUAUAAAAAUAAUUAAAUUUUUUAUUUAAAUUACACUAAUUAGUGGCUUGAAUUUAAUAAUGAAAUUGUUAAGGAAAAUAAAAAUACCUUAGGGAUAACAGCAUAAUAAUUUUUUUAAGAUCCUAUUUUAAAAAUUGAUUGUGACCUCGAUGUUGA
rnacentral:rRNA from 1 species